GCAGCCGCGGGUAAUACGGAAGGUCCAGGCGUAUCCGGGAUUAUGGGUUAAAGGAGCGUAGGGCUGAGAUCAAGUGUGUUGUGAAAUGUAGACGCUCAACGUCUGAAAUUGCAGCGCAUACUGGUUUCCUUUGAGUACGCACAACGUUGGCGGAAUUCGUCGUGUAGCGGUGAAAUGCUUAGAUAUGACGAAGAACUCCGAUUGCGAAGGCAGCUGACGGGAGCGCAACUGACGCUUAAGCUCGAAGGUGCGGGUAUCAAACAGGAUUAGAUACCCUGGUAGUCCGCACAGUAAACGAUGGAUGCCCGCUGUUGGUACCUGGUAUCAGCGGCUAAGCGAAAGCAUUAAGCAUCCCACCUGGGGAGUACGCCGGCAACGGUGAAACUCAAAGGAAUUGACGGGGGCCCGCACAAGCGGAGGAACAUGUGGUUUAAUUCGAUGAUACGCGAGGAACCUUACCCGGGCUUGAAUUGCAGAGGAAGGAUUUAGAGAUAAUGACGCCCUUCGGGGUCUCUGUGAAGGUGCUGCAUGGUUGUCGUCAGCUCGUGCCAUGAGGUGUCGGCUUAAGUGCCAUAACGAGCGCAACCCCUCUCUUCAGUUGCCAUCAGGUAAUGCUGGGCACUCUGGAGACACUGCCACCGUAAGGUGUGAGGAAGGUGGGGAUGACGUCAAAUCAGCACGGUCCUUACGUCCGGGGCUACACACGUGUUACAAUGGCCGGUACAUAGGGAUGGUGUAAUGCAAAUUGCAUCAAAUCUUGAAAGCCGGUCCCAGUUCGGACUGGGGUCUGCAACCCGACCCCACGAAGCUGGAUUCGCUAGUAAUCGCGCAUCAGCCAUGGCGCGGUGAAUACGUUCCCGGGCCUUGUACACACCGCCCGUCAAGCCAUGAAAGCCGGGGGUGCCUGAAGUCCGUGACCGCAAGGAUCGGCCCAGGGCAAAACUGGUGAUUGGGGCUAAGUCGUAACAAGGUAGCCGU
rnacentral:rRNA from 1 species